rnacentral:misc_RNA from 1 species
GAUGAAGAACGUAGCGAAAUGCGAUAAGUAAUGUGAAUUGCAGAAUUCAGUGAAUCAUCGAAUCUUUGAACGCACAUUGCGCCCGCCAGUAUUCUGGCGGGCAUGCCUGUUCGAGCGUCAUUUCAACCCUCAAGCCCUGCUUGGUGUUGGGGAUCGGCGUUGCCUCCUCCGUCGUUCGCGGCGGGGUGAGGUCGCCGCCCCCGAAAUGAAUUGGCGGUCUCGUCGCAGCUUUCCUUUGCGUAGUAACAUACCACCUCGCAACCAGGAGCGCGGCGCGGCCACUGCCGUAAAACGCCCAACUUUUUCAAGAGUUGACCUCGAAUCAGGUAGGAAUACCCGCUGAACUUAAGCAUAUCAAAAGCGGAGGA